CACGGCCCAGACUCCUACGGGAGGCAGCAGUGGGGAAUAUUGCACAAUGGGGGAAACCCUGAUGCAGCAGCACGCCGCGUGAGUGAUGACGGUCUUCGGAUUGUAAAGCUCUGUCUUUAGGGACGAUAAUGACGGUACCUAAGGAGGAAGCCACGGCUAACUACGUGCCAGCAGCCGCGGUAAUC
rnacentral:rRNA from 1 species